rnacentral:misc_RNA from 1 species
GUUCAUUUGGAGAGCAGAGAGAGUGAGGCAGUGAGCCAAUGAAUAAACGAUUAGAGCUCAAAAUCAAACUGCUGGCCGAGCAAGGAUAUACGUGCUCCUUUCGCCUAAACGAACUAAGCAAUCCGUCGUCAGCAAAUUAGAAUCAGCCUACGUGCCGUUGGCAGAGAACGCUUUGUCGUUUCUUUAAACAAGUGGUUGUGUUUCUCCACAAAGAC